AUUGAACGCUGGCGGCAUGCUUUACACAUGCAAGUCGAACGGUAACAGGUUAAGCUGACGAGUGGCGAACGGGUGAGUAAUGCAUCGGAACGUGCCCGAUCGUGGGGGAUAACGCAGCGAAAGCUGCGCUAAUACCGCAUACGAUCCGAGGAUGAAAGCGGGGGACCGUAAGGCCUCGCGCGAUCGGAGCGGCCGAUGUCAGAUUAGGUAGUUGGUGGGGGAAAGGCUCACCAAGCCGACGAUCUGGAGCUGGUCUGAGAGGACGACCAGCCACACGGGGACUGAGACACGGCCCAGACUCCUACGGGAGGCAGCAGUGGGGAAUUUUGGACAAUGGGCGAAAGCCUGAUCCAGCAAUGCCGCGUGCAGGAAGAAGGCCUUCGGGUUGUAAACUGCUUUUGUACGGAGCGAAAAGGCUCUCUCUAAUACAGGGGGCUCAUGACGGUACCGUAAGAAUAAGCACCGGCUAACUACGUGCCAGCAGCCGCAGUAAUAC
rnacentral:rRNA from 1 species